GCUCCCAUGGCGUAGUGGUCACUGCGCUCGCCUUGCACGCGGGAGACCCGGGUUAGAUUCCCGGCGGGGUCA
rfam:Asian citrus Psyllid, Diaphorina citri - Florida Strain, whole genome shotgun sequence.